CCCAAACGCCUCCAGCACUCACCCAGGGACCUCCCGGACAGCGAGCAGCGCCCAUCCAAGCCCAAACCCUACAGUUGCCCUAUCCCCAAACUCAAAGGAUCUGGAUCCUAACCGCGGUAGAGCUGCUCAUGGUUAGUGACCUCAGUUCUGUCGACUAAGACCAAGGCCAGGCCCCCCUCCCUGAGCUCUGGCAUUCUUCCCCUCUCUGCCCAGGUAGGAUCAUACCCAGCAAAGGCUUCUGGGCACAAAUAGGUAU